CACGUAGGGCGCAAGCGUUGUCCGGAUUUAUUGGGCGUAAAGAGCGUGUAGGCGGCCUGAAAGGUCAGCUGUGAAAACUCGAGGCUCAACCUCGAGACGUCGGUUGAAACCAUCUGGCUAGAGUCCGGAAGAGGAGAGUGGAAUUCCCGGUGUAGCGGUGAAAUGCGCAGAUAUCAGGAAGAACACCCGUGGCUAAGGCGGCUCUCUAGUACGGUACUGACGCUGAGACGCGAAAGCGUGGGGAGCGAACAGG
rnacentral:rRNA from 1 species